UCUUGCUGUGGGCCGAGUGCUAGUUGCAAGGAGUUGAUAGUAAUCUUGUAAUAACUGAGUGUUUUCGUUAUUGUUGUUGUGUUUUGUAUAGUUAUCUGUUAGUUGUUUGUGUUGUAUUAUAUAUUGUGUACGUCAAAUUGUAACUAUACUAGCUCGACACUUAAAAUUGCGAAAAACUGGCAACAACUCC